rnacentral:rRNA from 1 species
GGCGAACGGGUGAGUAAUGCAUCGGAACGUGCCCAGUAGUGGGGGAUAGCUCGGCGAAAGCCGGAUUAAUACCGCAUACGCACUACGGUGGAAAGCGGGGGACCGAAAGGCCUCGCGCUAUUGGAGCGGCCGAUGUCGGAUUAGCUUGUUGGUGGGGUAAAAGCCUACCAAGGCGACGAUCCGUAGCUGGUCUGAGAGGACGACCAGCCACACUGGGACUGAGACACGGCCCAGACUCCUAC